ensembl:rRNA 5S_rRNA 5S ribosomal RNA
AUCAGCAGCCAUAUCACCCUGCAACUCACAACUGGCAACCCACUGAAGCUCAGCAGGUGUGAGCCUGGUCAGUACCUGGAUGGGAGAGCUCCUGGGAAAAACUAAGGUUGCUGCUGGAA